rnacentral:lncRNA from 1 species
UAAGCUGUGUGCAUAUGCCAAGAGGUGAUUUUUUUGUUGUUGUUUUUGUGCAAACAGGGAUCAGGAGUCCCCAUUCAGCUCUUUCCACCUCAAAUCCAAGAGUGUGAGUUACGGCGAGGAGGCCUCCAGGAGAUACGUGGCAGAGCAAGGCCUGGUGGACAGGAGGCAGGAGGAACAGUGAAAGGAGAAUAUGCAGAGAAGUUUCCAAGCUCCACUCCUUUGUUCUUGGGUCAAAAGAGAAUUAGAGGUAAGAAAACAAAUGUGUUAGUCAAGUCAGUUC